CGGGCUCUCGGGUCUUUUUUAGCGCCAUCUGCUCGCGGCGCCGCCUUCUGCGCCUCCAGCCGCCGCUACCGCCCUGAGUCACUGCCUGCGCAGCUCCGGCCGCUUGGCUCCGCGUUCUAGCCGCCGAUACUUGGAGUUCUUACAACAUGGCAGACAUUGACAACAAAGAACAGUCUGAACUUGAUCAAGAUUUGGAUGAUGUUGAAGAAGUAGAAGAAGAAGAAACUGGUGAAGAAACAAAAAUCAAAGCGCGUCAGCUAACUGUUCAGAUGAUGCAAAAUCCUCAGAUUCUUGCAGCCCUUCAAGAAAGACUUGAUGGUCUGGUAGAAACACCAGCAGGAUACAUUGAAAGCUUGCCUAGGGUAGUUAAAAGACGAGUGAAUGCUCUUAAAAACCUUCAAGUUAAAUGUGCACAGAUAGAAGCCAAAUUCUAUGAGGAAGUUCAUGAUCUUGAAAGAAAAUAUGCUGUUCUCUAUCAGCCUCUAUUUGAUAAGCGAUUUGAGAUCAUCAAUGCAAUUUAUGAACCUACAGAAGAAGAAUGUGAAUGGAAACCAGAUGAGGAGGAUGAAAUUUCGGAGGAGCUGAAAGAAAAGGCCAAGGUUGAAGAUGAGAAAAAGGAUGAAGAAAAAGAAGACCCCAAAGGAAUUCCUGAAUUUUGGUUGACUGUUUUUAAGAAUGUUGACUUGCUCAGUGAUAUGGUUCAGGAACAUGAUGAACCUAUUCUGAAGCACUUGAAAGAUAUUAAAGUGAAGUUCUCAGAUGCUGGCCAGCCCAUGAGUUUUGUCUUAGAGUUUCACUUUGAACCCAAUGAGUAUUUCACAAAUGAAGUGUUGACAAAGACAUAUAGGAUGAGGUCUGAACCAGAUGAUUCUGAUCCCUUUUCUUUUGAUGGACCAGAAAUUAUGGGUUGUACAGGGUGCCAGAUAGAUUGGAAAAAAGGAAAGAAUGUCACAUUGAAAACCAUUAAGAAGAAGCAGAAACACAAGGGACGUGGAACAGUUCGCACUGUGACUAAAACCGUUUCCAAUGACUCUUUCUUUAAUUUUUUUGCCCCUCCUGAAGUUCCUGAAAGUGGAGAUUUGGAUGAUGACGCUGAAGCUAUCCUUGCUGCAGAUUUUGAAAUUGGUCACUUUUUACGUGAGCGUAUAAUUCCAAGAUCAGUGUUAUACUUUACUGGAGAAGCUAUUGAAGAUGAUGACGAUGAUUAUGAUGAAGAAGGUGAAGAAGCAGAUGAGGGUUAUCAGCUCUUUGAAGAAGUCAAAAGCUGCAGUAAACUUUUUCAACGUUGGCUGCAGUAAAUCUUUUCAAUAAAAGCUGUCUGGAUGUCUCGAGUUGUGUUGAGAAAUUUUCGUAUUAGAAGCUUUCAAAUUAAAUUGCGUUAUCACCAAACUGUAAUCAUGAAAAUCUGUUGACCUAUAGAGUAACUUGUAUUAAAUUCUCCCUACAAUAUGAGCCAUUUCUUCCUACUGUACCUACUUCAUGGAUGCAUUUUGAACUUUAAUAUAGGAAGGGGAAGAAGAAGGAGAUGAGGAAAAUGAUCCAGACUAUGACGUGAAGAAGGAUCAAAACCCAGCAGAGUGCAAGCAACAGUGAAGCAGGAUGUGUGUGGCCUUGAGGAUAACUGCACUGUAAUAGCCUAAACACAACUAUUAUUUACUUACAGCCUUAUGUUUUUGUAUUUUCUUUGUAGACUCCGUAGUUUUUUUUAAAAGAAAGGAACUGAUUUUAAAGACCAAUUUGUUCUAAUUAGCAUUUUAACUAUAUCGUUUUUCUGCCAGAUAUGUUGAAUGCACAAAAUUCUGUCAAGCAUGUUCAUUCAUUGCUGCAUAGUUUGGUUCUUUUGGAGCGUUUUUGUCAUGUAGCUAUUAGAUUACGGUUUAUGUACAUUAACAGAACUAGUAAAUGAAACAAAUUUCUUGUUCUGCAAAUCAUCUUCCUAAAGAACCAAAGUAUUUUUUCAGCUGGUAGUUGAAUGGAAUUAAGUCUGCUCGCAUUAGGUGUGCCUUUCAUUACUUUGUUACGGAUAUGCAGUGACUUAUACUAAAAGAGGCAAUUCAUUAUUGGUAUUUUUUUAACAAUGAGAUAAGUAUAUGGUUAAGAAUUUCCAGUAAGACCACAUCUGAUGACUAUCAGAUUGAUUAUGUUUUUUUUUGUAUUUUAAUGACAUAAUAGUAUAGAUAUUUGUUGACACAAAGAAGUGAAUAAAACCUAGUAUUUUCAGAAGUUAGCUUCAUACUAUUUAACUGUACUUUUAAACUUACCCUCCAUUAACUAAGCAUCUUUUCUUUGUGGUGUAGGGUCUACCUUCUGCUCCCCUGGAAAGGAUGAAUUUACAUCAUUUGACAAGCCUAUUUCGAGUUUUUUUUGUUGUUUGUUUGUUCGCUUGUUUUUGUUUUUGCAACUUAAAAUAAAAAUGUCAAAUACAA